AUACGGAGGGGGCUAGCGUUGUUCGGAAUCACUGGGCGUAAAGCGCGCGUAGGCGGCGAUUCAAGUCAGAGGUGAAAGCCUGGAGCUUAACUCCAGAACUGCCUUUGAAACUGAGUUGCUAGAGAUUGGGAGAGGUAAGCGGAAUUCCGAGUGUAGAGGUGAAAUUCGUAGAUAUUCGGAAGAACACCAGUGGCGAAGGCGGCUUACUGGACCAAUACUGACGCUGAGGUGCGAAAGCGUGGGGAGC
rnacentral:rRNA from 1 species